rnacentral:rRNA from 1 species
AUUGAACGCUGGCGGCAUGCCUUACACAUGCAAGUCGAACGGUAACGGGCCUUCGGGUGCCGACGAGUGGCGAACGGGUGAGUAAUACAUCGGAACGUGCCCGAUCGUGGGGGCUACCGGGGCGAAACCUUUCCUAAUACCCCAUACGAUCUACGGUUGAAAGCGGGGGACCGCAAGCCCUUUCGCGGACGGAGCGCCCGAUGGCGGAUUGGGUAGUUGGUGGGAUAAAAGCUUACCAAGCCGACGAUCUGUAGCUGGUCUGAGAGGAUGAUAGGCCACACUGGGACUGAGACACGGCCCAGACUCCUACGGGAGGCAGCAGUGGGGAAUUUUGGACAAUGGGCGCAAGCCUGAUCCAGCCAUGCCGCGUGCAGGAUGAAGGCCUUCGGGUUGUAAACUGCUUUUGUACGGAACGAAAAGCCUUCUUUUAAUACGGGGGGGUCAUGACGGUACCGUAAGAAUAAGCACCGGCUAACUACGUG